rnacentral:rRNA from 1 species
AGUGAACGCUGGCGGUAGGCCUAACACAUGCCAGUCGAACGGCAGCACAGUAAGAGCUUGCUCUUACGGGUGGCGAGUGGCGGACGGGUGAGGAAUACAUCGGAAUCUACUUUUUCGUGGGGGAUAACGUAGGGAAACUUACGCUAAUACCGCAUACGACCUACGGGUGAAAGCAGGGGAUCUUCGGACCUUGCGCGAUUGAAUGAGCCGAUGUCGGAUUAGCUAGUUGGCGGGGUAAAGGCCCACCAAGGCGACGAUCCGUAGCUGGUCUGAGAGGAUGUUCAGCCACACUGGAACUGAGACACUGUCCAGACUCCUACGGGAGGCAGCAGUGGGGAAUAUUGGACAAUGGGCGCAAGCCUGAUCCAGCCAUACCGCGUGGGUGAAGAAGGCCUUCGGGUUGUAAAGCCCUUUUGUUGGGAAAGAAAAGCAGCAGGUUAAUACCCCGCUGUUCUGACGGUACCCAAAGAAUAAGCACCGGCUAACUUCGUG